GCUCCACGCUGUGGGUACUUCUUCAAGUCCCAAGACCAUGGAGCGGGGCCUGGAUGACCCUGGUAAAUCAGCCACAGAAUUCUCAGUUCUCAGAACAGAGGAGAAGCCAGGUGGCGUGUUUAACCUGGAUUUGCAGGGCCUGGUGAUGAUCAAGCCUCAGGCAGCCAGGGAGUCACAGAGGCCUGGUUUUCAUCUCAAAUCCCAGCUCUGCCACUUACCAUCUGGGUCACUUGGCAAGUGUCAUCAGCUCUCUGAACCUCGUUUGCCUCGUCUGUUAAAUGCAGCAUUUCCAAUUAAUUCUGAUUGAGAGCCCAAGGCAAGGAGCCAGUGUUGCCGGAGGAAUGCUAAAGAGCAAACUGAUCCAGGGAAACAAAUGCCAGCAAGGGACCCCACAGCAGAGAGGCAGACACUGUGAGCAACUCUCCUGUUGCCAUGAGGCUUGCGAGGCGUGUGCGCGGGUCUCCGCAUUGGCACCAUCUGCCGAUUCCUCGGGAGGACGGAACAAACUAGCGAGGCAUGAAGAUUAGAUUAUGUAACGCGCGGGGACUGCUGUUUCCAAAGAGGAAACAAAUGGAACGAAUUGAUUUGCUUGUCAGAGUCAUGUCACUAAGGCGACUCGUUCCCCCUCUUCCGAGAGGCCCUCGUUAAAGAGAAUGGGCUCACAGAUUCAGAAUAUGGGAGACCACAAUCGACUCCAUUCAUAAGAAAGUGAGUCCAAUUUCCAGAACUGCACUGAUAAAUCCUAUUUUGAU